UACGGAGGGUGCGAGCGUUGUCCGGAAUCACUGGGCGUAAAGGGCGCGUAGGUGGCCUGUGGAAGUCUGCGGUGAAAGCCCGGCGCUCAACGCCGGGUCGGCCGUGGAUACUCUCGGGCUCGAGCUUACUAGAGGCAGAUGGAAUUCCGGGUGUAGCGAUGGAAUGCGUAGAGAUCCGGAAGAACACCGGUGGCGAAGGCGGUCUGCUGGGGUAAUGCUGACACUGAUGCGCGACAGCGUGGGGAGCAAACAGG
rnacentral:rRNA from 1 species